rnacentral:rRNA from 1 species
GGACAUUCUAUACGGAGUUACAAAGGAACGAGGUAGACGAAGCGACCUGGAAAGGUCCGUCGUAGAGGGUAACAACCCCGUAGUCGAAACUUCGUUCUCUCUUGAAUGUAUCCUGAGUACGGCGGAACACGUGAAAUUCCGUCGGAAUCUGGGAGGACCAUCUCCCAAGGCUAAAUACUCCCUAGUGAUCGAUAGUCAACCAGUACCGUGAGGGAAAGGUGAAAAGCACCCCGGAAGGGGCGGGAAAGAGAUCCAGAAACCG